UACAGAGGAGCCAAGCGUUGUCCGGAUUGACUGGGCGUAAAGCGCACGCAGGCGGCCGCGCGCGUGGGGUGUGAAAUCUGGCCGCUUAACGGCCAGGCGCCAUCCCAUACGGCGCGGCUGGAGCCAUGCAGAGGGCGGUGGAAUUCCGGUGUAGCGGUGAAAUGCGCAGAUAUCGGGAAGAACACCCGUGGCUAAGGCGGCUCUCUAGUACGGUACUGACGCUGAGACGCGAAAGCGUGGGGAGCGAACAGG
rnacentral:rRNA from 1 species